rnacentral:misc_RNA from 1 species
AGCAGCCGCGGUAAUUCCAGCUCCAAUAGCGUAUAUUAAAGUUGUUGCAGUUAAAAAGCUCGUAGUUGAAUUUCGGGAUUGACACAUCGGUCGUGCCUUAAGGGGUAUGAACUGGUGUAGUCAAUUUCUCACCUUCUGGAGAACCGCGAUGCCCUUAAUUGGGUGUCGCGGGGAACCAGGACCUUUACUUUGAAAAAUUAGAGUGUUUAAAGCAGGCAUUUUGCUUGAAUACAUUAGCAUGGAAUAAUAAAAUAGGACGGCAUGAUUCUAUUUUGUUGGUUUCUAGGAUCACCGUAAUGAUUAAUAGGGAUAGUUGGGGGCAUUAGUAUUCAAUUGUCAGAGGUGAAAUUCUUGGAUUUAUUGAAGACUAACUACUGCGAAAGCAUUUGCCAAGGAUGUUUUCAUUAAUCAAGAACGAAAGUUAGGGGAUCGAAGACGAUCAGAUACCGUCGUAGUCUUGACCAUAAACUAUGCCGACUAGGAAUCAGACGAUGUUAAUUUUUAAUGUACUCGUUUGGCA